rnacentral:rRNA from 1 species
AGUGAACGCUGGCGGUAGGCCUAACACAUGCAAGUCGAACGGCAGCACAGUAAUAGCUUGCUCUUACGGGUGGCGAGUGGCGGACGGGUGAGGAAUACAUCGGAAUCUACUUUUUCGUGGGGGAUAACGUAGGGAAACUUACGCUAAUACCGCAUACGACCUACGGGUGAAAGCAGGGGAUCUUCGGACCUUGCGCGAUUGAAUGAGCCGAUGUCGGAUUAGCUAGUUGGCGGGGUAAAGGCCCACCAAGGCGACGAUCCGUAGCUGGUCUGAGAGGAUGAUCAGCCACACUGGAACUGAGACACGGUCCAGACUCCGAAGGGAGGCAGCAGUGGGGAAUAUUGGACAAUGGGCGCAAGACUGAUCCAGCCAUACCGCGUGGGUGAAGAAGGCCUUCGGGUGGUAAAGCCCUUUUGUUGGGAAAGAAAAGCAGCAGGUUAAUACCCCGCUGUUCUGACGGUACCCAAAGAAUAAGCACCGGCUAACUUCGUG